AUGCAACUUUCAACAACGGAUCUCUUGGCUCUCGCAUUCAUGAAGAACGCAGCGAAAUCCGAUAAGUAAUGUCAAUUGCAGAAUUUAGUGAAUCGCCUGCUCCUUGAACGCACCUUGCGCUUCUUUGUGUUCCGAGGACAUGCCUGUUUGAGUGUCAUG
rnacentral:rRNA from 1 species